GUCAUCGAGGUCUGUCCCAGACUCCGAGAUCUGCUCAUCUCUGCCGAACCUCCCACUGCCCCACAGGGAGCAGAAGACGAGGAGGAUCAGGGGGACGACCCAGAUCUUCCGCAGCUGCCUAACCUCUGCUCUCUCACACUCAACUUCUCCUAUGAGCACAGCCAAAUGAAGCCCGUCAUGUCCUGGAUGUCCCUGAGAAGGGUGCUCAAGUGUCUCCUGGCUGGUUCUCCUUUACUGGAGAAGCUCUCACUGGUCUCCCUGCCCUGCCCUCUGAACUGCGUUUUAAAGGAUGUACUACACGUAAUGGACUUGGACCAGUAUCUCUUUGCAAAUUCCACAAACUCACCUCCCAUGCCACUUGGACGGAUACAGCGUAUUGACCUGCCGCGCACUGAUGUGAAGAUGAUAAGUGAGAAGUUUAAUGCAACGGAGCAAGAGACUCAAUCAUGUAGAUGUGAGUCACUGCUGGCGGAUCAGUCAGCUCGAGUGGUUGAACUGCGAGACGUCCAGUAAAGUCCAAGUUGUCUGGUUGUGAAGAGAUGAGCGGCUUCCCAUACGGGAGCAACACUGUUAAAGGUGGACGUGAAGGAGGAUAAAUCAAUUAUUCAGAUAAAAAUACAAUGCAUACCUUUUACCAUGUCAAUUACAUUCGUAUCUCAACUCGUAUGACUACAACUCUAUAACUUGUCUUACUUCCUAUUCAAUGCUAAACAUUGAUUUUACAGACUGUUUUUUUUCACUGACAAACUGCAAUUUGUUCUUAAUACCUGUCUCAAAUCCAACCAUGUUAUUCCGAUAGGACCUUAAAUACAUUGUAUGAUAUCAAUAUGUGUGAGGUUGUCCUUUCAGGACACCAUACAAGUAAAAAAAUCACGAGAUGUUUCAAGUUGUUCUUUGAUUUUUUUCAAUGUUGAAUAUUUGAUAUAGACUUAGCAAAGGAUACCCAUAUUACUCCCUAUGUUUAUGGUAUUUUGAAACAACCCAGACUGAUAAAGUUGUUUUCUCCUAUAUUCCUAUAGUACCUUACAUUGUAUCAAUAUGUGUGAGGUGGUCCUUUCAGGACACCAUACAAGUAAAAGAAUCACAAGAUGAUUUUUAAAAAUGUUAAAUAUUUGAUAUAGACCUAGCAAAGGGUACUGUCGUGUUGUAAUGGUUUGUAUAUAUAUUUGCACAUGAAAAUAAGAAAGUCUAUGGUUUUAAAUUAAUACAUAAGAAAGCUAGGAUAAACGAUAAAGGAUAUUAUGAAGGAUAUUCCAAAGAAUGUAUUAUGAAAACAUAGAAAGUCCCUGUCACUGAAAAUAUGAUUAUUGUAUUAUUCUUGCAACUGUACUACUGACUGUAAGAUGUGUUGUGCUUAUUAUAAUUAUGGCAAGACGUGAGGAUGAAUGAAAUGUAUUGAUUUUGGGAGGCGUAGUCAGAAUGGGAGUUUCUACUAGAUCUCGUCAUAACAGCUGUUUUAACCGGAACCGGAAGUAUAUAUGAUUUGUGAUCCUUAUUCUUUUAUUAAAUACCUUAUAUUAUAA